rnacentral:tRNA from 1 species
GUUAUGGCUCAGUGGUAGAGCACUCACCUAGCACAUGCAAGGCCCUGGGUUCGAUUCUCAGCAUCACA